UGGCUUUUCUGCUCUAUGGGCCAUCCAAG
rnacentral:piRNA from 1 species